rnacentral:sRNA from 1 species
GAAAGGACCGGAGUUGCUGAGGAGGAAUGCCUCUGGAGAUUCUGGGUGAGGAUUCACAGGACUUUUGUGGCAUGUGUUGACAGGAGGGCCUCGGAGGUUUGAGUCACUUCACCUGAACGAGCCUGCGUCUCUGCUGAGCCCCGCC